GGGGCUGUAAUGUAGGCUUUCGACGAUUGAUGGGAAUAAAAUUAAAGCAAACAUUGUUUGAUUAUUAAAAAUAACUAAAUAAAGCACGCUUGCUUUGCAUAAAUUUCUUAAACAUAAAGUAAAAUUUUUCGUAGAUUAAAUUAUUUACGAUUAUAGUUUUUAAAACUUUUAAUUAAAGUAAAAAAUUUUUAAUUAAUUACAAAGUUAUAAUAUUUCCUAGUUAAACCAAAAAACGUAAUAAAGACAUUAAUAUAUUAUCAUCCUUUCAAUCGCAUGUAGGUUCAAUUCCUACCAGCUCCA
rnacentral:tmRNA from 1 species